ACCUGGUCCCGCUAUUUGAAUC
rnacentral:miRNA from 1 species